ensembl:lncRNA
CGAGGAGCCUCGGUAGCCGCGACCGGGGGCCUGGCCUCGCAGGGGAGGCGAAGUGGACUUGACUCAACUGCUCCAGGUCGCUGCGGAGGUCUCCGGCCCCGGACGGUGCUCACGAAGUCGGCUUCCCCACCUCGCUGGCUGUGGCCCCAGGAAAGCGAAGGGGUCUCCUCCUGGGAACCUCACAGUGCGCUGCAGAAAGUCAGCAGGCCCGUGCUUACUGCUAGGUUGAUUGUCUCGGGUAUUAUGUGACAGCGAUGGAGCUCUGACACAGAUGGUAAGUGGGACCAGAGAACUCUAACGGGGGUGCAGGGUGCUACCCAGAGGCCGGCAGAUGAGUAGCAUCAAGGAGAUUCAUCUAUAGCCAAGCCCCA